UGGGGAAUUUUUCGCAAUGGGCGCAAGCCUGACGAAGCAACGCCGCGUGGAGGAUGAAGGCCUUCGGGUCGUAAACUCCUGUCGACCGGGACGAAAGUCGUCCGGCCCAAUACGCCGGGCGAUUGACUGUACCGGUGGAGGAAGCUCCGGCUAACUCUGUGCCAGCAGCCGCGGUAAUACAGAGGGAGCAAGCGUUGUUCGGAAUUACUGGGCGUAAAGGGCGCGUAGGCGGUUCACUAAGUCCCGUGUGAAAUCCCUCGGCUCAACUGAGGAAUGGCACGGAAAACUGGUGGACUUGAGUUUGGGAGAGGGAAGCGGAAUUCCGGGUGUAGCGGUGAAAUGCGUAGAUAUCCGGAGGAACACCGGUGGCGAAGGCGGCUUCCUGGACCAAAACUGACGCUGAGGCGCGAAAGCUAGGGGAGCAAACGGGAUUAGAUACCCCGGUAGUCCUAGCCGUAAACGAUGAGCGCUGGGUGUAGGGGGUAUUAACCCCCCCUGUGCCGAAGCUAACGCAUUAAGCGCUCCGCCUGGGGAGUACGGUCGCAAGGCUGA
rnacentral:rRNA from 1 species